GACGAACGCUGGCGGCGUGCUUAACACAUGCAAGUCGAGCGGAAAGGCCUCUUCGGGGGUACUCGAGCGGCGAACGGGUGAGUAACACGUGAGUAAUCUGCCUCUGGCUUCGGGAUAGCCACCGGAAACGGUGAUUAAUACCGGAUACGACAUCCUCACGCAUGUGAUGGGUGUGGAAAGUUUUUUCGGCCAGGGAUGUGCUCGCGGCCUAUCAGCUUGUUGGUGGGGUAAUGGCCUACCAAGGCUUCGACGGGUAGCCGGCCUGAGAGGGUGACCGGCCACACUGGGACUGAGACACGGCCCAGACUCCUACGGGAGGCAGCAGUGGGGAAUAUUGGACAAUGGGCGGAAGCCUGAUCCAGCAACGCCGCGUGAGGGAUGACGGCCUUCGGGUUGUAAACCUCUUUCAGCACAGACGAAGCGCAAGUGACGGUAUGUGCAGAAGAAGGACCGGCCAACUACGUGCCAGCCGCCGCAGUAACAC
rnacentral:rRNA from 1 species